UCAUGUUAUAGCUCUUUUAGAAUUCAUCUAGCAGGCUUUCCGGUUUUUACCAGAAAGCCCCC
ensembl:snRNA U7 U7 small nuclear RNA